rnacentral:rRNA from 1 species
GACGUAGGGGGCCAGCGUUGCUCGGAAUUACUGGGUGUAAAGGGUUCGUAGGCGGUGCGGCAAGUUGGGAGUGAAAUCUCUGGGCUCAACCCAGAGGCUGCUUCCAAAACUGCUGUGCUUGAGUGUGGGAGAGGCGCGUGGAAUUGCAGGUGUAGCGGUGAAAUGCGUAGAUAUCAAGAGGAACACCUGCGGCGAAGGCGGGUUGCUGGGCCGACACUGACGCUGAUGCGCGAAAGCCAGGGGAGCGAACGGG